rnacentral:rRNA from 1 species
UACUAAGAGCACACGGAGGAUGCCUAGGCGCUAGGAGCCGAAGAAGGACGUGGCGAACAACGAUACUGCCUCGGGGAGCUGUAAGCAAGCUUCGAUCCGGGGAUGUCCGAUGGGGAAACCCAGCUAGGUAAUAGCUAGUUACCGUAUCUGAUACAUAGGAUGCGAGGAGGAUACCCAGGGAACUGAACAUCUAAGGUACC